GGGGAGUAAGUUUAAUUUAAAUAUUUAAUUUGCAAUUAAAAGAAGGAUUUUUCCACUCCUUA
rnacentral:tRNA from 1 species